UACGUAGGGGGCAAGCGUUGUCCGGAUUUAUUGGGCGUAAAGAGCGUGUAGGCGGUCCGGUAAGUCCGUUGUGAAAGUCAGGGGCUCAACCCUUGAAUGCCGGCGGAUACUGUCGGGCUAGAGUCCGGAAGAGGCGAGUGGAAUUCCUGGUGUAGCGGUGAAAUGCGCAGAUAUCAGGAGGAACACCAAUGGCGAAGGCAGCUCGCUGGGACGUGACUGACGCUGAGACGCGAAAGCGUGGGGAGCAAACAGG
rnacentral:rRNA from 1 species